rnacentral:rRNA from 1 species
AUUGAACGCUGGCGGCAGGCCUAACACAUGCAAGUCGAACGAGUGGCGGACGGGUGAGUAAUGUCUGGGAAAAUGCCUGAUGGAGGGGGAUAACUACUGGAAACGGUAGCUAAUACCGCAUACCAUCGGAUGUGCCCAGAUGGGAUUUGCUAGUAGGUUGGGUAAAGGCUCACCUAGGCGACGAUACCUAGCUGGUCUGAGAGGAUGACAAGCUACACUGGAACUGAGACAAGGUCCAGACUCCUACGGGAGGUAGCAUUGGGGAAUAUUGCACAAUGGGCGCAAGCCUGAUGCAGCCAGGCCGCGUGUAUGAAGAAGGCCUUCGGGUUGUAAAGUACUUUCAGCGGGGAGGCGUUACCCGCAGAAGAAGCACCGGCUAACUCCGUGCCAGCCGCCGCGGUAAUUC